rnacentral:rRNA from 1 species
CUGCUCCUACGGGGCGCAGCAGUGGGGGAUAUUGCACAAUGGGGGGAACCCUGAUGCAGCGACGCCGCGUGGGUGAAGAAGCGCCUCGGCGCGUAAAGCCCUGUCAGCAGGGAAGAAAAUGACGGUACCUGAAGAAGAAGCCCCGGCUAACUACGUGCCAGCAGCCGCGGUAAUACGUAGGGGGCAAGCGUUAUCCGGAUUUACUGGUUGUAAAGGGGGCGCAGACGGCGAUGCACGCCAGGAUUGAAAGCCCGUGGCCCAACCCCGGGACUGCUCUU